rnacentral:rRNA from 1 species
UACGGAGGGUGCAAGCGUUAUCCGGAUUCACUGGGCUUAAAGCGUGUGUAGGCGGAUUUGUAAGUACCUUGUGAAAUCCCACGGCUCAACCGUGGAACUGCUCGGUAUACUGCUUAUCUUGAGCCACUUAGGGGCUACCGGAACAAAUGGUGGAGCGGUGAAAUGCGUAGAUAUCAUUUGGAACGCCAAUGGUGAAAACAGGUAGCUGGGAGUGUGCUGACGCUGAGACACGAAAGCCAGGGGAGCGAACGGG